GCCACUUUUAAAUUCAUCAUUAGUAGUAGUAAUAAAUAAGGUACAAAAAUUCCACCAAAAGAGAAUUCUAACAUUUUACACAAUUUUUGUACUUGACCAGUCACAUACUAGCAGUCACACCAGCAGGAGGCGCUAUUGCUUUAAUAUGAAUGAUAAAUAGUCUAUAUUCUGCUAGAAAAUUCGCUAGUGAAAAAACACCCACAGCACGCGGCACCCCUGUCACUGGCACUUUUAGGACAACAUUAUUAUUAUUAAUGUCUUUUUUUUUGUUUUGUUUGUUUUUCAAAUGCAAGCAGCAGCAAAAAUCAAUCUUCUAAUAUCAUUAGUAGAACAUCUGCAGUCUUUAUUUUCUCUAUGUAGCUGUAUAUUUCUAUUUAGUCAUGUAUAUAUUCAAACCUGAGAAAAACAUGCAUUUUAAAUCUGUUGUGCUUUAUCAUACUCUGUUAGUCCUGACCCUGCCAUGAGACAGGGAGAAAGAGAAAGAAAGGAAGAGAGAGAGAUAGAGAGAGACUGGCAAAAUAAACUAGGACGAAAGAGGAUUCACAUGCCCUGGAGACAGUCUGAAAGCGCUGAUUGACAAUAACAGAUGAAACCGAAAUAGGCACAAAGAAUGCGAGAUUGAGAAAAAAAAAGAGCUUGUUCCAAAGUCUAGUGAGCCUCCUACUUAGACUAGACAACAGCAUAUGCAGUGCCCUAUGCAGUGACUAAAAUUACAUAUAUAUUUAACAGAGACGUCAAUCCCAGAAUGCAUUGCGACAAGCUCUGUCACAAAAGCUGGCGGAGAAUGCGGGCAAAUCAUAACUAAUCCAUUCAGUGCCCAAAUAUAUUGAUAAAACAGUGGACCAUUUUAACCAAUAUGUGUGCAUGCUACAUAUUAAGCAUAGUACUUUGUUAGCUUAGCAAUAUGCUAAUAUGAAACACUACACUGUAAAAAAAAAAAAAAAAGUAGUUAUAAAUAAUGCAUAUUAUUGAUCCUUUACAUUACUUACAUUUAAGUAUGCUUUACAACAAAAGAAUACUCCAGUUUCCUUAAAUAUUUCAUGUUUAAUUCAAUGUGCCACUUGCGGUUUCUUUCCCUUGUGAAAAUAAUUUCUACACCCAUCCCCCCCCCCAGUGUUUUAGACGUCGGAUCUCUUGUGCAGUUUGUAUAUUUGUUGCUGUCAAUGUACUUUGUUUGAAAUCAGUCACUUAAAAGGUUUCUUUCAGUUAGUAUGCUGCCUUAGAAGGUAACUACCUAUGUAGGGCAGCUCACUAGAUUUCGAACACACCCUUAGAAAGUGAGAGAAUGUAAACAUUAAUAAUUUAAGACUGCUAAAGGAAAAAAGCAUGAGAAAAGAGAAAGCAAGUAGAGGAUGUAAACAUUAACAAGAAUAAAACUGUUAAACAGAGAAAGACAGACUGUAGACAGACAUGAGACGAGAGAGGAAAAGAUUAUGUAAACAUUAACAAUCUAAGAAAGACUUCCAGAGAGAAGAGUAGAGAAAGAGAGAAAGAUUGUGUUGCAAAGGUCGCCAGAGUGGUAAAAACGAUGCCAGUGAGAGGGUGGCCUUGGAAAACUAAGAGUGCAAACAGGACAGCGAAUCAAAACCCAUAAUACUCCCACUCUGCUGCCGUGUCUGACCAAUCAGCAAGCGGAAUGUCAGUAAGGACACAGCACCAAAGGGAGAAACACACACGAACACCAACCGCAUGCGAAGCAUUCCCGCAAACCAACUCAAACAUGAGCUCUCGGGGGUGAGCUGUGUUUGGAUGUCCACUCUGCAGAUGGGACACUUCCUACUGGUGGCCAGCCACUGAUCCACACACGCCUGAUGGAACAAAUGCAUACAGGAACUCACCAAUCAGUGCCUUCUGCCAGGUAUCUGGGCUGCUGUGGGAUUGGCUGAGGGACAUGGAGGGGCGGAGCA